rnacentral:rRNA from 1 species
AACGAACGCUGGCGGCAGGCCUAACACAUGCAAGUCGAACGCCGUAGCAAUACGGAGUGGCAGACGGGUGAGUAACGCGUGGGAACCUUCCCAAUGGUACGGAAUAACUCAGGGAAACUCGAGGUAAUACCGUAUACGCCCGCAAGGGGAAAGAUUCAUCGCCAUUGGAUGGGCCCGCGUCGGAUUAGCUAGUUGGUGAGGUAACGGCUCACCAAGGCGACGAUCCGUAGCUGGUUUGAGAGAAUGACCAGCCACACUGGGACUGAGACACGGCCCAGACUCGUACGGGAGGCAGCAGUGGGGAAUCUUGGACAAUGGGCGCAAGCCUGAUCCAGCCAUGCCGCGUAAGUGACGAAGGCCUUAGGGUUGUAA